GCUCAAAUGGUAGAGCGCUCGCUUAG
rnacentral:piRNA from 2 species